UACGGAGGGUGCGAGCGUUGUCCGGAAUCACUGGGCGUAAAGGGCGCGUAGGCGGCAUGGCAAGUGGAAGGUGAAAUCCCUCGGCUUAACCGAGGAACUGCCCUCCAAACUGCUUUGCUUGAGGCCGGGAGAGGCGAGUGGAAUUCCCAGUGUAGCGGUGAAAUGCGUAGAUAUUGGGAGGAACACCAGUGGCGAAGGCGGCUCGCUGGACCGGUUCUGACGCUGAUGCGCGAAAGCGUGGGGAGCAAACGGG
rnacentral:rRNA from 1 species